UCCGGCAUGGUCUAGUGGCUAGGAUACCUGGCUCUCACCCAGGAGGCCCGGGUUCGAUUCCCGGUGUUGGAA
rnacentral:tRNA from 2 species